UACGUAGGGUGCAAGCGUUUGUCCGGAAUUAUUGGGCGUAAAGAGCUCGUAGGCGGUUUGUCGCGUCGGCUGUGAAAACCUGGGGCUCAACCCCGGGCCUGCAGCCGAUACGGGCAAACUAGAAUUCGGUAGGGGAGACUGGAAUUCCUGGUGUAGCGGUGAAAUGACGCAGAUAUCAGGAGGAACACCGGUGGCGAAGGCGGGUCUCUGGGCCGAUAUUGACGCUGAGGAGCGAAAGCGUGGGGAGCAAACAGG
rnacentral:rRNA from 1 species